AACGAACGCUGGCGGCAGGCCUAACACAUGCAAGUCGAACGCUCCAGCAAUGGAGAGUGGCAGACGGGUGAGUAACGCGUGGGAACCUUCCCAGUGGUACGGAAUAGCUCAGGGAAACUUGAGGUAAUACCGUAUACGCCCUUCGGGGGAAAGAUUUAUCGCCAUUGGAUGGGCCCGCGUCGGAUUAGCUAGUUGGUGAGGUAACGGCUCACCAAGGCGACGAUCCGUAGCUGGUCUGAGAGGAUGAUCAGCCACACUGGGACUGAGACACGGCCCAGACUCCUACGGGAGGCAGCAGUGGGGAAUAUUGGACAAUGGGCGCACGCCUGAUCCAGCCAUGCCGCGUGAGUGACGAAGGCCUUAGGGUUGUAAAGCUCUUUUGGCGGGGAAGAUAAUGACGGUACCCGCAGAAUAAGCUCCGGCUAACUUCGUGCCAGCCGCCGCGGUAAAAC
rnacentral:rRNA from 1 species